CGAUAGCUCAGUUGGAUAGAGUGACUGGCUACGAACCAGUAGGCCGCGGGUUCGAGUCCCUCUCGGC
rnacentral:tRNA from 1 species